UCCUACGGGGGGCAGCAGUGGGGAAUAUUGCACAGUGGGGGAAACCCUGAUGCAGCGACGCCGCGUGAGCGAAGAAGUAUUUCGGUAUGUAAAGCUCUAUCAGCAGGGAAGAAAAAUGACGGUACCUGAGUAAGAAGCACCGGCUAAAUACGUGCCAGCAGCCGCGGUAAUACGUAUGGUGCAAGCGUUAUCCGGAUUUACUGGGUGUAAAGGGAGCGCAGGCGGUGCGGCAAGUCUGAUGUGAAAAUCCGGGGUCCCACCCCGGAACUGCAUUGGAAACUGUUUAUCUAGAGUGUCGGA
rnacentral:rRNA from 1 species